CUACGGGGCGCUCCAGUGGGGAAUUUUGCGCAAUGGGCGAAAGCCUGACGCAGCGACGCCGCGUGGAGGAAGAAGGUCUUCGGGUUGUAAACUCCUUUAGUACGGGAAGAAGCCUUCGGGUGACGGUACCGUAAGAAUAAGCCACGGCUAACUCUGUGCCAGCAGCCGCGGUAAGACAGAGGUGGCAAGCGUUGUUCGGAUUUACUGGGCUUAAAGGGCGUGUAGGCGUCUUGAUAAGUCAGAUGUGGAAGCCCUGGGCUCAACCCAGGAAGUGCAUUUGAAACUGUCGGGAUUGAGUCAUGCAAGGGAAGGCGGAAUUCCUGGUGUAGCGGUGAAAUGCGUAGAUAUCAGGAGGAAGGCCGGUGGCGAAGGUGGCCUUCUGGGCAAUGACUGACGCUGAGGCGCGAAAGCGUGGGGAGCAAACAGGAUUAGAUACCCCGGUAGUC
rnacentral:rRNA from 1 species